rnacentral:lncRNA from 1 species
GAUCCACCAGCCUAAGUCUGCCAAUUCCUUGUGCGGUAUUCUUUCCACAGCAGCACUGCCUUCCAAAGAGGAUGUCUGAGCUGCCAGGAUUAGGAGCAUUCUUCCCUUCUGUAUCCUCUGGAAAGAUGAACCUGGGACUUCUGCACAAGGGUCCUGCAGUGAGCCGGUGAGAGCAUUCCGGGGUAAACAGGACUCGUCCUAUCCCAGGAUCCUUCCAGUGGUGCCUGGGUCAGUAUCUAGAUGAGAUGGAGAGGGUAAGAAGGACCUGCUCUCCGAGGUCUGGACGAGGUAAGAUAUAGGGUUAGUACCGGGGCAGGGGGUGGGUGGGUGCAGGUAUGCAGGGCCUGUGAAGUGCUGUGUUCGGGGGCUUCAGUGACCUGGGGCUUUUUGGUUGGUUCCUGUCAGGGGAGGGGGGCACUCCUUCCUAAGGUGACAAGCCCACGAACUCCUUCCGUAGCCUCUGCCCUUUUGGGACCAGCAAUGACAAUGCACCUAAAGGCUCUUUGUUUUCUGCGUCUGGCUCUCAGCGUUCUUUCCCCAGGAGGUUUCUGCCCUUCAUGCUCCCAGAGAGCCAGGUGUGCCUUCCAGGAUGAAUACAGUGGCUCACCCCCUUGGGAGGCAUUUCAGCUGCACAAGCUGAUCAAAGAUGAAGAACCAGAGAAAGAAACAGAGGCUAAAAGAAACUGCAUAAUUUUCCUAUAAGUGAAGUAGCCAAGAUUCGAACUCAAGUGUUCUGCUUCCAGUUUUCCCAAGGUCAGCAUCUCUCUUGGCAUGAAGUCAAUGUAUUACGUACUGAAAAGAAUGUUCUGAAAAACAAUUCAGUCUGCCACAGAUUGUUGCAAGAAUUCUUACAGUCAUCAGUACUACACAGUAAGUGGAAUUUGUAGACCAAGGAUGACCCUCAUUCAGGGUCACUGGAGGUCAGUUCAUACAAACCACUUUCUGGGAAGAUCAAUAUU